rnacentral:rRNA from 1 species
GUGCCAGCAGCCGCGGUAAUACGGAGGGUGCAAGCGUUGUUCGGAAUUACUGGGCGUAAAGCGCGCGUAGGCGGUUUUACAAGUCAGAUGUGAAAGCCCAUGGCUCAACCAUGGACGUGCAUUUGAAACUGUAAGACUUGAGUAUUGGAGGGGGUGGUGGAAUUCCCGGUGUAGAGGUGAAAUUCGUAGAUAUCGGGAGGAAUACCAGUGGCGAAGGCGACCACCUGGCCAAAUACUGACGCUCAUGUGCGAAAGCGUGGGGAGCAAACAGGAUUAGAAACCCUGGUAGUCC